rnacentral:sRNA from 1 species
CCUUGAGCAUGGACAGCCUGGAUCUGCUGGGUGAAGGGAGAAGUUAUGUCCAGGGUGGGACAGAGAGGAUGGCGAGAGAUUUCCUCACUACUCAGAACAGCGGGAAAUUCAAAACUUAGGGAUUAUUUCUGAAAUUUUCCAUUUAAAAUUGACCAAGUGUAACUGAAACCAGAGAAAGCAAGACUGACGAUAAGGGAGGGGCCUCCUGUACUCCAAGAGCACUGAAUCUGGAAAAACUCAACACAUCGAUGGAGUCAUAUAUUUAAUUUUUUCUUAAAAGCCACCUGUGGGGUAUUGUAGAAACGCUGCGCUGCCUAUCACAGCUUGUGAUGUGACACGUUCAUUCUGCAAGUUUAAACUUCGCCUAGUGGCUGCACCAUUUUGCAUUCUGGGAUGUGACGUGGAACAGAAUUACCUUCAGAGUGAAGUUCAAAAACUCACUGGGAAUAAGUAUGGAGAAAUGAUGCUGCAAGCUGAUGAAAUAAAUUUACUAUAGGAACAAAA